rnacentral:rRNA from 1 species
UGGGGAAUAUUGGACAAUGGGCGAAAGCCUGAUCCAGCCAUGCCGCGUGUGUGAAGAAGGUCUUCGGAUUGUAAAGCACUUUACGUUGGGAGGAAGGGCAUUAACCUAAUACGUUAGUGUUUUGACGUUACCGACAGAAUAAGCACCGGCUAACUCUGUGCCAGCAGCCGCGGUAAUAAAGAGGGAGCAAGCGUUAAUCGGAAUUACUGGGCGUAAAGCGCGCGUAGGUGGUUUGUUAAGUUGGAUGUGAAAUCCCCGGGCUCAACCUGGGAACUGCAUUCAAAACUGACUGACUAGAGUAUGGUAGAGGGUGGUGGAAUUUCCUGUGUAGCGGUGAAAUGCGUAGAUAUAGGAAGGAACACCAGUGGCGAAGGCGACCACCUGGACUAAUACUGACACUGAGGUGCGAAAGCGUGGGGAGCAAACA